rnacentral:ribozyme from 14 species
UAUUUAUAAUUCUAUUACUAUCCCCCUUGUUUUUUUUCUCUUUUUUUCUUCUCCUUGACCUUCUCCUUCCAGUAUGUGACUGACAUCCAACAGGGCUUGGUACGUUUGAAAUGAUUACACUGACAGUUAAGAGGCAUUUGCCGAAAAAUAAUAAUUUUAACAUUUUUCUUUUUCCCAUGCGUCAUUAAAAACAUCGUCACUACAACUGAUAAUUUGUGU